GCAUUAAUGGGGUAGUGGUAACCUGGGUCGUUGCCAUCGUGGCUAUUGGCAUGUCCUCUCUUCUCGUCGACCCGCCGGGGCUUCGAUUCCCCCUUAAUGCA